GGCUCAAGAAACAUAUUACAAAUAUAUAACAAUUAUUUUACCAUUUAAGAUGUAUUUAUUUUACUUAAUUAUUCUUAAUAGUUAUAUAAAAUACUACUUAAUAGUAGGCUUAUAUUUAAGUCCUAUUGCAUUAUCAUAUCACAUUAAAUCAUACAGGACUUCUUAAUAUUACCAUUGGCCACACACUCAGUCAUUUGCUAUGAACGGAAAGCACCCCAUGUUCUGGCAAGUUUUUAAACAGACCAUUCCCAGAGAUCUAAAAAUAUAUGACCAUUAUCGUGGACAAAAACAGUUAAAUGAUACAGUGGUGUGGAAAUUCAGCACUGAAUACAAUGAAAAUCAACCAAUUUACCAUCCCAUCCUUCUAUUUAGUUACUCUCUGCUGAAACCAUAAAUCAGAGAAUAAUUUGUGCAAAUAUUAUUUUUUUCAGGUCACAAUUUUACUUACGACAGAAAAAAAUCUUUCUGCAAAGCAUUCAAUUCAGUUCAAGUUUAUUUGUAUAGCGUUUUCACAAUACAUAUUGUUUAAAAGCAGCAUGCAUGUUUCAAUUUUACAAUCAAUGUGUCAAAGUAAUGUCCAUAGUGCAGUAAUAUAGGCCACAGCCUUAAGAUAUGUGGUUUGUAAAUGUCAAAAUUAACAGUUAUACAGUGAUUAUAGCAUCAUAAUGAUUACAGUAUUAGGAUAGUAUCUGACUGUUUUGUAUGUUGAUCCAAAGUUGGCAUUGAAAGUAUUUUAUUGUAAUUUCUCCCUGGAGUUACAGCACAUAACUUGCAGUAAUUUCUCAACUGGUCUUUUCCUAUUUAUCGAAAUGCUAUUGACAGUAAAUUAUCACAUUAAAACAAUCAUGCAGUCUGAGAUAGCUUGUGAACUGAAUGCAGUUUUGUGCCGUGAAUCAAACGUAUUUACCCCAUCAAAGGCAACGCAAAGGGAGUCACCGCACUGUUUUGCUUGAGGUGAAUAACGUAUGAUCUGUUUACCAAGAUCUAUUUAUUCAUUCUGCUGGAGCAGUGGAGGAACACGAGGUGAGAGGCAGUUGAAUGCUUUCACUGGGGCCUCUUGCCAAACCAAACAUAUCCCCUUGGCAUCCUUACAUUAGUGUCAAUGGCUUACAUCCAUAAUAUGUUAGUGCAGCAGCUUUAGAAAUGAGACCCCAGCUGAGGAGGAAUGGCAAGCUGAAUAUGGGCUAAAUUUGGCACAGAAAUGUGCUCCUUGCAGGCUGAAAUUAUUCUAAUUGUAACCACAUAUGAUUUACUUAAUAUCAGUUAUUUUAAUGACAAUAUUUAUCACUGUGGUCGACUGUUGCAUCAUCCCUGGGUGACAUGAACACACACAAUGAAUGGCCUAUAAUUAUCUGAAAAUAUAUAUGCAUCUAUACGAACUGUAAAACAAGAUUGCAUGUUUCCAGAAAAAUGACACUGGAAAGACAUGGGGGGAAAAUUCUAGUCAACAUGAAACCCAUUUUACUUCUGUAAUUGUGUAGUGCAAGAGGAUUCCUGAAGAAUGAGGGGGAACUCCAUUGGGAAUUGACUGGACUGUGAAAAGUGGGCAUUCUGUACUAGAAUACAAAGAGGUGGUUGAAAAAUAAGAGCGAUUUGUGAUAACAAUCAUGUCAGAUGAGUUACAAGUUAUUACAUUUUGAUAAAAGACUGAUGAAUCAUGCACAAUAACACCUGUUGACUUAAAAUGUGAUACCUGGUUUGACAAAUGGUGGUAUAAUGUGCUGAGUAUAAAACCCACUGAGUAAUUUGUAUAACUAGAUAUUUCCCUUAAUGACUACCUAACAACAGUUGUGAAACAUGAAUAAUACAGUUUAAAUGAAAGGUUACAGCACACUGUUGAUUCUAUGCUUUAAAGUCACCAUGAAAUCAAAACUGACAAUUCUUAUGGAAUAUUUCAGUACAUGCACAUUAUCAUUAUUGUUAUUUUAAUUCAUGUACUCUCGUAAUCUUCAAACAAAAUAACUUCCCCUCUCUCUUGCAGCAAUAUAUCUUCUCUGUUUAUGUGUUUACUGGCUCAAUGGCAGGGCAACCUGUCACUCACAAGCUUCACCAAUAGCAAACCACAACCAUCCAAUCAAUUCCCCAUGGACGAACUCAAAUCCCGCCCUACAUUUUUUCUUGUUCAAGAAGCCGUUUCACUUGGAUAUACAUCACAAUAGGGAAGAAUGAUGCAACUUUACGUUUCAUGCGGACUUUAAAAUUCAGUCUGGAACUUGGUGGAGAUUUGCUUUGCUCUAGGCAGGUGUACCCUACAUGUAUAUGGGUACAUUUGAGUGUAAAGUUACAGAGUUUCCAGGUUUAAACUAAAAUAUAAUUUUUUUUUGUUCACUCAGUUUUCCUUAAAAUUGCUUUUUGUGAUGCAUUUGUCAUGCAUUUGUCAUUAUUUCACCCAUAUUGCAGAAUAAGUUGAGAAUUCUGCAGAACUUGCUGUAAUUAGUAGAUCUGUGUGGAAACAGUUUCCUAAACUGCUACAUUUCCAAAAUGUAAGGCAAACACCUUUUUUUGAGUAUGUUAAAAGGUGAUGUAACUUCCUCUAUUCCAGAUUAAUAUGCAGCCCUACUGUACGUCAUCUGUAGGCUAAUUUCCCCCCAAAAAAUAAACACUGGGACUCUGUGGCACUAUAUUAAUAUUAAGACUGCAUCCUGACCGGCCCAACACAGAAACAUUGGCUCAACAAAUGGUGUGAGUUUGGGGUGGGAAUCUUGGGACUAUCAGGAGAAUAUGAUGUCAGUGGUGUAGCCCAUGGGUAGGCAACCUGGUAAUCGCUGGCACGUGAGUAAAAGCGAGAGAGGUGUAUGUAUUUCUACACAUGACCUUUCUAACGUGAUUACGUAAUGCGUGAACAUCACAGAACUAGUGCAAGAUGAGCAUUUGUGGUUAAAAAAUAUAUAUACAUUUUAAUUUUUUUUUUGAAAAUGACAGAUCGUUUCGCUAGAUAAGACCCUUAUUCCUCGUCUGGGAUCAUGUAGAGCCCUUUGAAGCUGCACUGAAACUGCAAUUUGGACCUUCAACCCGUUGGACCCCAGUGAAGUCCACUAUAUGGAGAAAAAUCCUGGAAUGUUUUCCUCAAAAACCUUAAUUUCCUUUUGACUGAAGAAAGAAAGACAUGAACAUCUUGGAUGACAUGGGGGUGAGUAAAUUAUCAGGAAAUUUUAAUUCUGGAGUGAACUAAUCCUUUAAGGUGCAUUCACACUACCAGCGACUUUGUCUCUGCAUAUGUAAUGGAGUUAAAAAGAACAUUCAUUCUAAUGAUUUUCAUGGUGUUGAAUUACAUGAAAUUAGAGGAUAAACUAAAUCAGAUGGUGUUUUGGUGCCCCCUAGUGGUUAAUGCAUUGCAGACAUUCUAUAUUGUGUCCUUGUACGCUUACCGUAGUUUAGCAGAAAAUGGCUGACACUGCUGCGGUGGUUUAUGUCUGCAGUGUUUACACCAUGUCUAAUAAUACAUUUUGAUGUAUUUCUCAGGAUCGUGAUCGCAACGUAGGCCAAGGUCAAUUGGAGCAUGUUUGCCAGGACACCAGUCGGCCAAAUGGAGUUAUACAUCUCUGUCUACACUCCCGUCAGGUGAUAUUUUUGGGGGAAGUUGUGUUUAUGCUCUUCGUUUGCGCUGCUGAGUGUCUGAUCUCUUGCCCACACACUGUUUUGAGAAGAUUUACACAACUUGUUGGUGUUAACCCCGGUUAACCCCACUGUUGAUCGCAAAAUGACCCCUGUCCCACAAACACAUUCUUACAAAUACAUGUACCCAUGAACUCUUGUACUCUACUGUGUUAUGACCAGAGCAGCUGUGGCAAACAUGCAGCACGUACAUCGUGGAUGGGGGAAUUUGAAGACCACUACACACAAGCAGACUACGGUGUUUUCAUGAUUGCUCAAAGAACGGAAUUUUGGUUUGAAUUUUGGUUGAUGAUUUGACUUUUAAAGGGCUUAUGCUGAAUGAGAUAUGGUUCAACUGGAUAUAAUUAUUACAAUUUUGAAAUUCUUCUGUGUGGAAAAGACCAUAUUCAGAAAAAAAUGUGAUUUUUUUUUUUUUUUUUUUUUUUUUUUCUUUCUUAAUACCAGGUGUUAGGUAGGAACACAAACUACCAUGUGUACAUACACUAACAGAUGACACAAAGUAUUCUGUUGGUCACGCUAUUCAAACGUCACUUUGCUGCCAUGACUACAACUUGUAUAUUGUACAAACAUUAUGAUAAGUUACGAUGAUUGUUAUGGCCAAGAACAUAAACAUAAUGGAGUAUGUUCCAGGAAGAAGUGGGUCAAGGCUGUGAGUGGGCAUUUGUGUAUAUAGCAUAUGUUUUUUUUUACAGUGUACAUCGCGCACACAUGCACGUUUGGGUACAGAAUGUUCAUUAGCACAAGACUCUCUCAACUUUUUCUUGCUUCACACAUUCCAGAGGUCUAUAAAACAAAAAUGGGAUUAAAUAUAAUUAUAAGAUCCUUGUGUAUGAGGAUUAUUGCUUUGUAUUGUAUUGUGUUGUAGUGUUUUUAACUGUGUAGUAGAUAAAAAAAAAAAGAUUUAGGUUCAUAAAUGAGGCAUAUGCUUUGAAAGUGUGUAUGGCAUUUUUAACUUUAUUGAUAAUAAAUGUAAUUAAAUACUGUA